rnacentral:rRNA from 1 species
GAUGAACGCUGGCGGCGUGCCUAAUACAUGCAAGUCGAGCGCACAGACGUGGAGCUUGUUCCAAUGAGGUUAGCGGCGGACGGGUGAGUAACGCGUGGGUAAUCUGCCUAUGAGACGGGGACAACAUCGGGAAACGGAUGCUAAUACCGCAUAAUAUCUUGAAACACAUGGUUUAAUAGUGAAAGAUGCUAUUGCAGCACUCAAUGAUUAGCUCGCGUUGUCUUAGCUAGUUGGGUAGGUAAAGGCUCAACCAAGCGAAGAUACAUAACCGACCUGAGAAGGUGAUCGGCCCACUUGGGAAUGAGACCAGGCCCAAACUCCCAACGGAGGGAGCAGUAGGGAAAUCUUGGGCAUGGAGGAAAGUCUGAACGAGGAACGGCGGGUGAGUGAAGGAGGUUUUCGGAUUGUAAAACUCUGUUGGUAGAGAAGAACGUUGGGGAGAGUGGAAAGCUCAUGAAGUGACGGUACCUAAUCAGAAAGGGACGGCUAACUACGUG